GUGCUUACUUCAGCAGCACAUGCACUAAAACUGGAACAACACAGAGAAGAUUAGCAUGGCCCCUGCACAAGGAUGACACGCAAAUUAGUGAAGCAUUCCAUAUGAAA
ensembl:snRNA U6 U6 spliceosomal RNA